UCCCAGUGCCCAGCGACCCUCUGGGUGAAGAAACUUUUCCUAAUAUCUACCCUAAACCUUCCCUGACACAGUUUCAUACCAUACUUAAUGUGAGGAUAAGUAUUAUCCUUAACAAAACUACUAGCUAGAUGAUUCUUUCUUCAUUUUUGUGAUAUUUAAAGCAUAUUUUGCUUAACCCUUAAAGCGCUGAAAUAGCUUUUGCUUGUACUCUUUUGUUUGCCAGUCACGGGAAGACAAAUAAAAUUGUAUCUACUCCUUUCUGUCUUCUGUCUCCCUAGUCUUCUAGAAAUCUCAAGCAACUCUCAAGUUUCACUGGGUUCUCAAUUCAAAUUUUUUUGUAACUUUACAUCUUCAUGGGGUUCAGCCUUUGUACAAUAGCCCACUUUUGGUACAAUAUUGACUUGGCUUUGAUUUUCAUCUUACAGUCCCAUAUAUCCUUACUUCUUUUGGUUGUUUUCAAAUCAGAGAAAGAGCAGUUGCCCUCAGUAGAAGUAAACAUAGUCAAUAAGAUAGGAUGGAAGAGGUAGAAUAUCCUUGCAGAAGUAGAAGCUUAUCUAAAAGACCUAAUUUACUUUUUUAAUUAUUCAAAGCACUUUUAGGUAAUUUAAUUAAAAACAGAGCUGGGCAAAGAGGAUGCAUAUUGCUAUCUUUGUCUUAUUAAUUUCUGAAGAAUUUAGCCAAGUUAAACAAACUGUAGUAGAACUCAAUACUCUAAUUUAGGUUACUGACUCGGUGUCUGCUUCAUUGAAAUUGAAAGUGCCUGGCUCAGGAAAGUGAGCUAAUCUACUUACAGUACAGUAUACGAUUACUGAAGAGACAGAUUUGCCAGUAAAGAUCUGCAGAGAAAGUCAAUGGCAUGGUCUGGCUUUGGCAUCUUCCUCUGUGGUGAGGAGGAUACCUUUGGGAGUUUUGAAUGCUUUCUUAAAUAGCAUAAAGCUGCUGGAAAUGUUAGGUUAGGACUCUCUGUUCAUGCAUGGCCUCUUCUAAGGACAGACACGUAAUGAGCUAAAGGCAGUCAUAGAGGUACAUGAUGCCUGUGUUAAAGGCACACGUGUAAUGUUUAGGAAAACAGAAAGAGGAAGCUUCUUGUUUAGGCAUACAGUUGCAUGGAAGAAACUCAUUUUGGUCGAAGCCCUCCUCUGUGUGCAUAUUUUAGUAGAGCACCAGUGGAUAAGAACAAAACUAAUCUGGCUACAGGAUGUGGAAGCAUUCUGUGUCCUCAGUAGUACGCCCAAAAAUAGGCAGCCCUCUGUCUUUCCCCUCACUUAACUCGUGAUUCAUCUGGGUGCCUCCAGAAGAAGGUAGAUAAUCCGUGCAGAACAACUCUCUAACAGUUCCUUCAGUAAGGACAGAGCACAGGGCCCAGCUCUCUGUGUUUCAGUUCAGGCAGAGGGCAUCUGGUGCCAGGGUGCCUGAACUGCAGCAGAACUGUAGCUGUUACAUAUGUGCCUACCCUGGCAAUAGAUCUCUCUCCAAUGGAGAUAGCAUGGGCCAGGGACAGUUGCUUUUUCGCAGCUAGAAUGUGACCACCUUAUUUUGUGGAGUAGGAAAGCUUAGUAUUGCAAAUAUGGGACAUUGUACCUUGAGCCUCAGGGGAAGAGUGUGACUUGGAGCACACUGGGUAUACCAGGAGAGAGGUAAUCUUCCAGAGGAGCUAUCUACAGGAUUAGGCAGUCCUGAAAACUAGGUGUACAUAACCAUGGCCUGGGAAUAAGCUUUGGUCUUUGACACCAAAAUUUGGGGUUAGGCACAUCGAAUCUCACAAUAGAUCUCUAAUACUUGUGAACAUACUGGGGUUUUUUUGUUUCAUUAUCCUUCUGCGCUUUCAGGUGCACUGUUCUAGCAUCCAGGUUUCUUGCUGGUCUGUUUAAGGUUUGAAUGCUGUACUUAUGGGCUGUUUGAGGGAUGAUUUGAUUUUGAGGGAUUCCCUAGGUUGUCAUCAGUCAAGACUUUUAGAGAGGAAAAGGCUACAGACCAAGAUGAGAGUAAACUAAACCAGUUGUUAUAAUGCCCAGCAAUGCUAACUUCUGAAAAACUGUGAGGACAAAAUAUGAGUAAAUUCAUUAAAUCAAUUGAAAAGAUACAAAACCAAAGUCAGUUAAAUAAUGCAGAAAUUUGCAUAUAUCGUUAUCUCAUUUCUUUCUUUCUGCCAACAUUUUUUUUCCCAAAGUGGCAAAUCCUCUCCUCCUUAAUCAUCUUCAAGGCUCCCUUUAACACUUCAAGAAGACAGUUGUUUACAGUCACACAGUGAGUCCAUAGUAGAGCUUGGAAUGGUAAUUUGGUAUCCAUCACCUAUGCUACAGUCAGAGACUACUAGGUCAUGCUAUUUCUUGAUAUUACUAGUACUGUUUUAUUAUACGUCUUCUCAGUCACAAAGCUGUAUCAAAUGUUGAACACUGAUUCUUUUGCUGAGAAAGUAAAUUUUUUGAUACAUUUUUCUGGGAAAAACCCUUUUUUGUAUGGUUGUGCUUGAUAACAGUAGCCCAGGCUUUUCAGAGAAACAUUUACAAUAAUCAAAAACUAUACUUAAAUUAGAAAAUUUUAUUUAGUAGACAGUUGUAUCUUUACUUAAAUAAAUGCUUUUAAUCAAAGAUACAACAUUCUUCAGAAACUUUUUCCACAUUAGAGAGCAAUUAUUUGAGUUUUAGCUUGAAUCUGAUUUACACAAUUAAAAAUUGUACAGAAAAGGUUUUCCAUUGGAUCUGAAGAGAAAAUGUAAAUGUGCAAUGUGUAUGUGAUGUUACUUAAUUUCCAUGGCUAUGAACCCUCAAAUGUUGAGACAACAGGGAAUUGUUUAGCAAAGUUUCGAAUUCCCUUCACUGCUAAAGCUUCAUCAAAAUAAGACUAUGGUUUCCAAUUGUUAAAUUAGAUUGAAUAUGUAUUUUCUUUUACCUGUGAUAGUGUAACUGUAUUAAAGAUGUGAUUUUGAAAAAAGGGGGUAGUUUGCUGUAUACCAUUAUUUGUGAAAUAGUGAACACUGUCUGAUCAUUAUUUUUAUUUUCACAAUAAAACCUACUAAAACUGCAUUUACCUUGAAACUGUUUUGUACAAUGUAAUUAAAAAGCUUAAUAUUUUGGCAACAUGAGAGAGAAAAGAUAACUUGAGAGUACAUUCAUAAAUGUAACAGAUACACAUUAUAAGACAUAUACAUCCCCCAUCGAGACAAGGUCAUUUUUAUGGGAAUGACUUUCCUUGGGCUCCAGGAAAGCCAACAUAUAGUUACUGUCAUUUUAAGAAACAAUUUAGAAAAGGGCAAUUUAGCCACCUCAGUAGGUGAUAUCCACAAAGAAAAGCACUGUUUGUAAGAGCUACUUAUUUGGAUGUGAGAGGUAGCUCAUGUCCCCUUCUAUAAUCAUUCGGUUCCAUGUUUGAACAUUUGAAUC